AACGAACGCUGGCGGCAGGCCUAACACAUGCAAGUCGAACGCUGUAGCAAUACAGAGUGGCAGACGGGUGAGUAACGCGUGGGAACCUUCCCAAUGGUACGGAAUAGCUCAGGGAAACUUGAGGUAAUACCGUAUAAGCCCCUAGGGGAAGGAUUAUCGCCAUUGGAUGGGCCCGCGUCGGAUUAGCUAGUUGGUGAAGUAAUGGCUCACCAAGGCAACGAUCCGUAGCUGGUUUGAGAGAAUGACCAGCCACACUGGGACUGAGACACGGCCCAGACUCCUACGGGAGGCAGCAGUGGGGAAGUCUUGGACAAUGGGCGGCAAGCCUGAUCCAGCCAUGCCGCGUGAGUGAUGAAGGCC
rnacentral:rRNA from 1 species